rnacentral:misc_RNA from 1 species
UUGGAUCUUGCAUACUCUAUGUGCAUGCCACCCCGAUCAGAAGAUGGUAGAGUGCUUCCUUGAAGUUCAUUCAGUGCUUUAGUUGCUUGCUCAACGCCCUCAAAAUCAGCAAAAGCAACAGGCAUCCCGCCUCUUGCACGCACCUUGAGGGUGUUAAAUCCAGAAUACUGAGAAACAACUUGCUUCAAUUCAUCCUCGGUGCAAUUUGGACCAAGAUUGGCGAUGAACAGAGUGGAACAUGGUUGUGCUCCAUCUGUUGUCUUCUCGUUUUGUUCACUUUUUGGGGCCAAAGCAUGGUCAGGCUCCACUACUUUCUCCUCACGUUUCUCUUCUGAAGAAUCAUCCUUUGUCCCAGAAUCAGGAUUCUCGGGCUCGGAAGCAUCAUCAGAAUCAUUAUCACCUUCAUUGCUUGAUGUGCCUCCUUCGGCAUCUUCAUUGAACUUGUUUCUGUUGUCAAUCACUACAUAAGGUCCUCUUCCUGGAAUUUGUAUUCUUCUAGAGUUUGAUCUUGCCGGUUCAAUGUGCAAAGUGGAUCCAGUUUGAGGA